ACAUCCAGCGAACUUGGCAGAGAUGCCUUGGUGCCUUCGGGAACGCUGAGACAGGUGCUGCAUGGCUGUCGUCAGCUCGUGUUGUGAAAUGUUGGGUUAAGUCCCGNAACGAGCGCAACCCUUAUCCUUUGUUGUCAGCGAUUCGGUCGGGAACUCAAAGGAGACUGCCGGUGAUAAACCGGAGGAAGGUGGGGAUGACGUCAAGUCAUCAUGGCCCUUACGAGUAGGGCUACACACGUGCUACAAUGGCGCAUACAAAGAGAAGCGACCUCGCGAGAGCAAGCGGACCUCAUAAAGUGCGUCGUAGUCCGGAUCGGAGUCUGCAACUCGACUCCGUGAAGUCGGAAUCGCUAGUAAUCGUGGAUCAGAAUGCCACGGUGAAUACGUUCCCGGUCCUUGUACACACCGCCCGUCACACCAUGGGAGUGGGUUGCAAAAGAAGUAGGUAGCUUAACCUUCGGGAGGGCGCUUACCACUUUGUGAUUCAUGACUGGGGUGAAGUCGUAACAAGGUAGGCGUAGCGAG
rnacentral:rRNA from 1 species